rnacentral:rRNA from 1 species
AUUGAACGCUGGCGGCAUGCCUUACACAUGCAGGUCGAACGGCAGCGGACCUUCGGGUGCCGGCGAGUGGCGAACGGGUGAGUAAAGUAUCGGAACGUACCUUUCAGUGGGGGAUAACGUAGCGAAAGUUACGCUAACACCGCAUAUUCUCUGAGGAGGAAAGCAGGGGACCUUCGGGCCUUGCGCUGAUGGAGCGGCCGAUAUCAGAUUAGCUAGUUGGUGGGGUAAGGGCCUACCAAGGCGACGAUCUGUAGCGGGUCUGAGAGGAUGAUCCGCCACACUGGGACUGAGACACGGCCCAGACUCCUACGGGAGGCAGCAGUGGGGAAUUUUGGACAAUGGGCGAAAGCCUGAUCCAGCCAUGCCGCGUGAGUGAAGAAGGCCUUCGGGUUGUAAAGCUCUUUCGGCCGGGAAGAAAUCGUGUGGGCUAAUACCCUGCAUGGAUGACGGUACCGGAAUAAGAAGCACCGGCUAACUACGUGCCAGCCGCCGCCGUAAAAC